UACGUAGGGUGCGAGCGUUGUCUGGAAUUACUGGGCGUAAAGAGCUCGUAGGUGGUUUGUCGCGUUGUUCGUGAAAACUCACAGCUUAACUGUGGGCGUGCGGGCGAUACGGGCAGACUAGAGUACUGCAGGGGAGACUGGAAUUCCUGGUGUAGCGGUGGAAUGCGCAGAUAUCAGGAGGAACACCGGUGGCGAAGGCGGGUCUCUGGGCAGUAACUGACGCUGAGGAGCGAAAGCGUGGGGAGCGAACAGG
rnacentral:rRNA from 1 species